rnacentral:ncRNA from 2 species
UGCUGUCACCAGGGGUGUCCCCAUACGCGGGGGCUGAGAGGGCCGAGCACAGCGGCCUGACCCUAGGAACCUGAUCUGGUUCACACCAGCGGAGGGAGCGUGACAGGCGCAACUG